rnacentral:rRNA from 1 species
CGCCUUGCCAGCCCGCUCAGAAACUUAAAGGAAUUCGACGGGGGCCCGCACAAGCGGUGGAGUAUGUGGUUUAAUUCGAUGCAACGCGAAGAACCUUACCUGGUCUUGACAUCCCGGAGACCCUUAGGAAACUAGGGGGUGCUUCCAUCUGGAAGAAUCUGGAGACAGGUGCUGCAUGGCUGUCGUCAGCUCGUGUCGUGAGAUGUUGGGUUAAGUCCCGCAACGAGCGCAACCCUUGCCUUUAGUUGCCAGCAGUUCGGCUGGGCACUCUAAAGGGACUGCCGGUGUUAAACCGGAGGAAGGUGGGGAUGACGUCAAGUCCUCAUGGCCUUUAUGACCAGGGCUACACACGUACUACAAUGGCCGAUACAAAGGGCAGCGACACUGCGAGGUGAAGCCAAUCCCGUAAAAUCGGUCUCAGUCCGGAUUGGAGUCUGCAACUCGACUCCAUGAAGUUGGAAUCGCUAGUAAUCGUGGAUCAGCAUGCCACGGUGAAUACGUUCCCGGGCCUU